rnacentral:rRNA from 1 species
GACGAACGCUGGCGGCGUGCUUAACACAUGCAAGUCGAACGGAAAGGCCCUGCUUUUGUGGGGUGCUCGAGUGGCGAACGGGUGAGUAACACGUGAGUAACCUGCCCUUGACUUUGGGAUAACUUCAGGAAACUGGGGCUAAUACCGGAUAGGAGCUCCUGCUGCAUGGUGGGGGUUGGAAAGUUUCGGCGGUUGGGGAUGGACUCGCGGCUUAUCAGCUUGUUGGUGGGGUAGUGGCUUACCAAGGCUUUGACGGGUAGCCGGCCUGAGAGGGUGACCGGCCACAUAGGGACUGAGAUACGGCCCAGACUCCUACGGGAGGCAGCAGGGGGGAAUGUUGCACAAUGGGCGGAAGCCUGAUGCAGCAACGCCGCGUGCGGGAUGACGGCCUUCGGGUUGUAAACCGCUUUCGCCUGUGACGAAGCGUGAGUGACGGUAAUGGGUAAAGAAGCACCGGCUAACUACGUG